rnacentral:rRNA from 1 species
UACGAGGGGGGCAAGCGUUGUUCGGAAUUAUUGGGCGUAAAGGGUGCGUAGGCGGUUUGGUAAGUCUUAUGUGAAAUCUACAGGCUCAACUUGUAGUCUGCACGAGAAACUGCCGGGCUUGAGUAUGGGAGAGGUGAGUGGAAUUCCUGGUGUAGCGGUGAAAUGCGUAGAUAUCAGGAGGAACACCUGUGGCGAAAGCGGCUCACUGGACCAUAACUGACGCUGAUGCACGAAAGCUAGGGGAGCAAACAGG